GUAAUGGUGGCUGAGUGUUUAAGCACUUGGCUUCUGAACCAAGAAGUCCUGGGUUCGAAUCUCAGUGAAGACU
rnacentral:tRNA from 1 species